UGCUUUACACUCCAGCAUCAGUGCCCACAU
rnacentral:piRNA from 1 species